rnacentral:rRNA from 1 species
GAUGAACGCUAGCUACAGGCUUAACACAUGCAAGUCGAGGGGUAACGAGAGGAAAGCUUGCUUUCCUUGUCGACGACCGGCGCACGGGUGAGUAACGCGUAUCCAACCUGCCCCCAACUAGGGAAUAACCUUGCGAAAGUAAGACUAAUACCCUAUAAUUUCCUCAGAUGACAUCUGACGAGGAAUAAAGAUUUAUCGGUUGUGGAUGGGGAUGCGUCUGAUUAGCUUGUUGGCGGGGUAACGGCCCACCAAGGCAACGAUCAGUAGGGGUUCUGAGAGUAAGGGCCCCCACAUAGGAACUGAGACGCGGUGCAAGCUCCUACGGGAGGCAGCAGUAAGUAAUAUUGGUCAGUGGGCGGAAGCCUGAACCAGCCAAGUAGCGUGCAGGAUGACGGCCCUAUGGGUUGUAAACUGCUUUUAUACAGGAAUAAAGUUAGCCACGUGUGGUUAUUUGUAGGUACUGUAUGAAUAAGGACCGGCUAAUUCCGUGCCAGCCGCCGCUGUAA